CCUAUCAAGAGAAAUAAACGGGUCAGUAGAACGCCUGGGCUCACUAGCCAGCAAACAAGCGAGUUGUUCCAACACUUGCUCAUUGGAAAACUCCCUCUGAUCUCCCUGCAAAGGGUCAUCAAGCAAAAUUUCCUGCAUUUGAGACUCAACAACAUCAUCUAAGACAUCCACAGAAAAAAUAGUAUCAUCAUGGUCUAGGGAAUGUCUCAUGCAAGUCGCUAAGUCAAAGGUGAU
rnacentral:lncRNA from 1 species